AUGGGGUUCAGGGGCGACGACUCGCCGGUCACCGGAGGCGGUAUCAGUGAAAAAGGCAGGUUCAGUUAUGGGUUUGCAAGCUGUGCUGGGAAAAGGGCAUCAAUGGAGGAUUUCUACGAGACAAGAGUGGAUGAUGUUGAUGGAGAGACUGUUGGGUUGUUUGGCGUAUUUGAUGGUCACGGCGGAGCUCGAGCAGCUGAAUAUGUGAAAAAGCACCUUUUCAGCAAUUUAAUCAAGCAUCCAAAAUUCAUGACAGAUACAAAGGCUGCUAUUGCUGAAACAUUCAACCAUACCGAUUCAGAGUUUCUGAAAGCUGAUAGUAGCCACACCAGAGAUGCUGGCUCAACUGCCUCAACAGCUAUUCUUGUCGGUGGUCGCUUGGUGGUUGCAAAUGUUGGUGAUUCUAGAGCUGUUGUUUCUAAAGGAGGGAAGGCUAUUGCGGUUUCCAGGGAUCACAAACCUGACCAGACAGACGAGAGACAGAGAAUUGAGGAAGCUGGAGGCUUUGUGAUGUGGGCUGGGACAUGGCGUGUUGGUGGUGUUCUUGCUGUUUCUCGAGCAUUUGGUGAUAAACUUCUAAAGCAGUAUGUCGUUGCUGAUCCAGAGAUCAAGGAGGAGGUUGUCGACAGCUCACUGGAAUUCCUAAUCCUCGCUAGUGAUGGGCUGUGGGAUGUUGUAACUAACGAUGAAGCUGUUGCCAUGGUCAAGCCAAUAGAGGAUCCUGAGCAAGCAGCGAAGGGACUACUUCAAGAAGCUUCCCAAAGGGGCAGUGCUGACAACAUCACUGUCGUCAUUGUUCGCUUCUUGGACGGAACGACGACGUCUGCUGGAGAUGGACCGAGCGAGGAGGUUGCCAAGGACCAAAGUGAGGAGGUCGCCAAGGACCAAUCCUCAUAG
rnacentral:rRNA from 1 species